CCAUAUAGGGGUAGAGGGAUAUAUACGGGCCUGACCGUACAGGGCCGGGAGAAGCUAAAGGCUAGUCGAACUAUCUGGGAAGAUAGACCGGAGAAGGUGAAAGUCCUGUAGGCGAAAGUCAGAGGCUAUCCUUGCAUAUAUCCCGAGUAACGCGGGGCACGAGAAAUCCCGCGUGAAUCUGGGGAGACCACUCUCUAAGGCUAAAUACUACCUGCUGACCGAUAGCGGAAAAGUACCGUGAGGGAAAGGUGAAAAGCACCCCGGGAGGGGAGUGAAAGAGUACCUGAAACCGUGAGUCUACAAUAAGUGGGAGCACGAAAGUGCGACCGCGUGCCUUUUGAUUAAUGAGCCUGCGAGUUACCGUAACUGGCGAGGUUAAUCCGAGAGAGGAGAAGCCGAAGGGAAACCGAGUCUUAAUAGGGCGGAAGUCAGUUGCGAUAGACCCGAAACCGGGUGAGCUAUCCAUGGGCAGGUUGAAGGUGGGGUAACACCCACUGGAGGACCGAACCAGUUAGCAGUAAAAAGCUAUUGGAUGACCUGUGGAUAGGAGUGAAAAGCUAACCGAACUCGGUGAUAUCUGGUACUCCUCGAAACGUGUUUAAGCACGGCCUUGCAUGGUUAGUGGAGGGGGUAGAGCACUGAUUGGGCUAGGGGGGCGACCUCCAACCCCAGUCAAACUCCGAAUACCUCUACUCAAAGUGCAGGAGACAGACUGCGAGCGAUAAGGUCCGUAGUCGAGAGGGAAACAGCCCAGACCACCAGCUAAGGGCCCAGAGAGAUAGCUAAGUGUUAAAGGAAGUGGAGAGUCAAAGACAGCUAGGAUGUUGGCUUAGAAGCAGCCAUCAUUAAAAGAGUGCGUAACAGCUCACUAGUCGAGACUCACCGCGCCGAAGAUGUAAGGGGGCUAAAGCUAUCCUCCGAAGCUGUGGAACAGGAAACUGUUGGUAGAGGAGCAUUGUGUUGUAGGGAGAAGGCAGACCCGUGAGGGCUGUUGGACGAGGCACAAGAGAGAAUGCAGGCAUGAGUAAACGAGAGGAGAGUGAGAAUCUCUCCCCCCGAAAGCCUAAGGGUACCUGGGCAAGGUUCGUCCUCCCAGGGUUAGUCGAGAUCCUAAGGGGAACCCGAAAGGGGUAGCCGAUGGGAAACCGGUUAAUAUUCCGGUACUGGCGUGACAUGAGUUUUGGGGUGUGACACAGGAGGAUAGGCGUUGCGUACUAGUUGCAUAGUGCGUCUAAGUUUCUAGUCUGAUGAUCGCGGCAGGGAAAUCCACCGCGGGAGGGUGAGGAACGAAUGGGAGUUCCUUCGGGAGCAACAACGUUGAGUUCAUACUGUCGAGAAAAGCAUCGCAAAGCGUUUGAGUGUUAAGCCAAUCGUUCUGAAAACCGACACAGGUAGGCAAGCUGAGAAGGCUAAGGGGAGCGGGAUAACUCCUGUUAAGGAACUAGGCAAAUUGGCCCCGUAACUUCGGGAGAAGGGGUACUCUGGCUGGUUAAGAGCUGGCUGGAGUCGCAGUGACAAGGCAGCGGCGACUGUUUACCAAAAACACAGGGCUCUGCGAAUUCGAGAAGAAGACGUAUAGGGUCUGACGCCUGCCCAGUGCUGGAAGGUUAAGGGGAAAGGUUAGCGCAAGCGAAGCUUUGAACCGAAGCCCCAGUAAACGGCGGCCGUAACUAUAACGGUCCUAAGGUAGCGAAAUUCCUUGUCGGGUAAGUUCCGACCUGCACGAAUGGCGUAACGAUCGCUUGGAGAGCACAACAAGGACAUUGCUAAGUGGGCAGUUUGACUGGGGCGGUCGCCUCCAAAAGAGUAACGGAGGCGCGCUAAGGUUGGCUCAGGUUGGUUGGAAAUCAACCAUAGAGUGUAAGGGCAAAAGCCAGCUUGACUGUGAGACUGACAGGUCGAACAGGAGGGAAACCUGGCCCUAGUGACCCUGCGGCCCUGAGUGGAAAGGCCGUUGAUCAACGGAUAAAAGCUACCCUGGGGAUAACAGGCUUAUACUGCCCGAGAGUUCAUAUCGACGGCAGUGUUUGGCACCUCGAUGUCGGCUCAUCGCAUCCUGGGGCUGGAGCAGGUCCCAAGGGUUAGGCUGUUCGCCUAUUAAAGCGGUACGUGAGCUGGGUUCAGAACGUCGUGAGACAGUUCGGUCCCUAUCUGUUGCGAGCGUAGGAGACUUGAGAAGGGUAGCCCCUAGUACGAGAGGACCGGGGUUAGUGAACCUCUAGUGAAUCAGUUGUCGUGCAAGCGGCAGUAGCUGAGUAGCUACGUUCAUGAGUGAUAACCGCUGACAGCAUCUAAGCGGGAAGCACGCUUCAAGACUAGGUCUCUCAGGAUCGUUCGAGAAGAGGACGUAGAUAGGCUGGAGAUGUAAGCACUGUGAAGUGUUCAGUCGACCAGUACUAAUAAUCCGAUUCCUUUACCU
rnacentral:rRNA from 1 species